UACAGAGGUCUCAAGCGUUAUCCGGAUUCACUGGGUUUAAAGGGUGCGUAGGUGGGUUGGUAAGUCAGUGGUGAAAUCUCCGAGCUUAACUUGGAAACUGCCAUUGAUACUAUCAGUCUUGAAUAUUGUGGAGGUCAGCGGAAUAUGUCAUGUAGCGGUGAAAUGCUUAGAUAUGACAUAGAACACCAAUUGCGAAGGCAGCUGGCUACACAUAUAUUGACACUGAGGCACGAAAGCGUGGGGAUCAAACAGG
rnacentral:rRNA from 1 species